rnacentral:lncRNA from 1 species
UCUGCACGUUUGGUUAGCAGCUCCAUUGGAAAAUAUAUAUAUGACGUGCCACCAACUCCAUCAAAUAAUGUUCAUGUGUUAUCUGCUGGUCGAUCAGAGUAUGAAAACAAAAAAAAAAAGUCUUUUGCCUUGUGGUGGACCAACGAAAUCAUCUUUGCGUCGUCAUUAACAUCACUUGAAUGUUCGUUUCGUCCAUCUGUAAUCAUUAGCAAUCGUGGUUUGGAUUUAUCAAACUGGGCAGUUGUACUCGUGCCUGCUUGCCCUGUGUCGUUGAAAUGCAUGUCUCUUGCGUCUUGGUAUAUUAGGUUGUCUUGGUUUCAUGUUUGGAACAUCGCUCAUAUAUUGCAGCACUGUCUCCCAGUUGGAUGGAUCGAUGUCAUAUACUUGAAGCUGUGAACACAAUAUAAUUGAAUCACUUAUGAAUCAAGUAAUCAGACAUGCAGUAUGAUUGAUUAUGACCUAAGUUCAUUUAAUAUCGUUGAUUGUAUGAGACAAUGAAUAUCAUUAAAGCAUGUAUUUGACUCGAAAAUCAUAUUUGUAACCUGAAACUUUAGGAAUAUGGGACUUGAGUGAUUAUAUAUGCUAUGCCUACAAAUGAAAACUAUGAUUUGUGAUAAAAAUGGCUACUUAUAUUAAUGCUGUGACCUGUGACUGCAUGUUGAGACAUGUGACAUCAUACUGUGAUAUGUGAAUGAAUCAUGUAAGUUGUGACAAAUUUGUUAUAUAUAUUAAUUCUCUAACCUAUGAAUGCAUACUUUGAUGUGCGAUUACUUUAUGACUUAUUUGUAUAACGUUUGUGACAUUUACAUUAUGUAUUGUGACCUGGUAAAGGGUGCUUUGUGACUACUAAUAGAAUCUACAUUUUAUCACCAAUGUAAUUAAACCCAUAAAUCAAAAUCCAAGAAUACUUCUUUAUUUAAUUUAACAACAGAUGGUUGUUUAUUAGAAAUCCAGUUCAUUAUGCGAGGGUAUCUUUUUCCCAUCCUAUUAUAC